rnacentral:lncRNA from 1 species
ACUGUAACUGGUGCCAGAAGGGCAAAGAUCAAGCAUUGACUCUUCCGGAGGAGAGGAGUAUAAGGCUUCAGGGUCUCCUUUCCUGGAGCCAUUGUGACCUAAAGAGGGUAUGUUUCAGGACAGCCAAGCUUAUAUGAUGAAGGGAACCUCAUAAACAGAAAGCUGGUGAAAAAUAUAUUUGAAUGAAGGGGCCAUGUUUUAGCUCCAGCAAGCAAAAGAACCGGGCAGCUUCAGCUUAGUGGUUCUGGCAGAGAUAUGAGAAAUCAGUUGUGGAGUCUCCUUUCAUGGCUAAGGAAAGCUGCUGAGGCCAGCUAAUAAUCAAGAUGAGCCAUUACUGUCAGCAUUCCUGAUCGUACAAAACUGUGGAGAAUGGUUAAUAAAGGAAAGAAAACUCUGGAUACCAGAGCAACAUAUGUGCAUCCAAACUAGAGCAAGAGGAAAUGAUUUGUGUAGCAGUCAAAGGAGGGAUCAGUGGAAGAUGAUGAAACAGACUAUAAAACAAAACAAAAUGGACCAUCUCCACCAGGAUAAAGAUGCAAUCAAGUGCUUUCUUUCAUCUGCCUGCUUUUCAGCCAGAGUGCCAGAGCAGCUGAACAUGCAGAGAACACAGAUCCUCAGACGUGGAGCUGGCUUCAUCAGCAAGCCUUCCUUCUGAGUAUACAGGGCCCAAGCU